rnacentral:tRNA from 1 species
GCCCGGGUAGACAAACUGGCAAAGUCUGCGUGCUUAAAACGCGCUGCUCUUAGGAGCUUGCGGGUUCGAGUCCCGCCCCGGGUA